GAGAAAUCAACCCAGCCAAAGAACAGACAGACUCUCAGAGGAGACUGGAGGCAAAGCAGUAACUUAGAUACUGACAUUGAAAUGGUUGGCUGCAUGCUUGACCCUGUGGAUUCAAGUGGUUCCAGUCACUUCAAGAGAGAGGUCUUUCCAUACUGCUGUCUAUGAAGAUGAGAAAAAAGAACAUCCAGAUGAGCACACUGAAGCCACAACAUCCAUUUUCUAAUACUCCUGGU